AAGGGGGGAGCAUUGGGUGGCAAUAGGCUUUAUGUCCCCACUGCUCCCCCACAGC
ensembl:miRNA MIR12228 microRNA mir-12228